CGCAAGUUCCUUGCUUUAUUUGUUUAAAUGUGUUUAGUGUCUUAACAGUUAAAUGUAUUUUAUGCAUUAGCAAAUUAUUUGAGCCAUUUUAUCCCGCCUCACUAAAGGUCAAAAAUCGAUUGAAUUUAUGAAGCAACUGUAUUUAGAUUUUUUUUUUAAUAUAAGUCUGUCUUUUUGCAUCGAGUGUGCACACAUUAAAAAAGUUUUUUGGUAACAAGUUGUAAUGACCUCAAAUUGGCGGUUUUGAUUCGUAUAUUUAAUUGGCUCGCAUUGCUGGACAUAAAGUAAAAUGAUUUUCAUAGAGGUUUCCCAAUAAUUUGAUUUACUUUGUUCCACGAGUUGUACACUUUUGUAAGGACAGGUAUUUAUAAAUGUAUUCAAGUUGUUGGCUCAAGCCAUACCAGUAAAGCUUGUGUUAUUUACCUAAGGCAUUUGUGUUCAUGCUUAAAAUGUAACAUUUUAAAGAGCAAAUUAUACAGUAUAUAUAUGUGUUUGUAUUAUGGGAUUAAAUUAAGCACCAUAUUUCACAUAAUGCCUAGUAAGUUAAAUAACUGAUUUGUUUCAUGUGCUUUAAAUAUAAUUUUCCUGGUGUUUUGGCAAAUAUUACAACCUGACUAACUUCUGAAUCUGUUUCUUUUCAGGAUAAAAGUGAAGCAGCUGGAAGUUUAGUUUGGUAUAUUGAUGUAAAAUUAUUAAUUUUAAUACACAUUCAUUGUAUAGAGAUACUGGAACCUACAGAUUGGUGAGAUCCUGGAUUGCUGGCCUGCUUUAAAAUGGAGUCACAGUAGCUGAUGUUCCUUCUUCAGUAGAACAAAAGAUAAUUUUUAGCUGAACUCAUGGUCCUUGGUGAUUCAUAAAAUGCAGGUCAACGGGUGCCAUCGCUUUGCGAGUCAAAAAACAUAAAGAAGCAACACAAAAUUAAUACCCAUGGUGGCACAGAAAUCUUGAGCUCCAGACUCUGGUUUUCCUGGUCACAGUGUUAUAAUGUGCUGUCUGUAUCUGCUUUUUGACUUACAAAUUAGUGGCACCUGUUGACUUGAAGUUUAUGAAUCAUCAAGGAACACUACUUCAGUUAAAAAUCAUCUUUAGUGUUCUACUAAAGAAAGAAAGUAGCUUACAUCUUGGUUGGCUGAAGGGUGAGUAAACGUCAGCCUGAAGAACGUCAACCUGAAGAACCAGAAAUAAAGUUAAUCCCACAGGAAAAGUGUCUGAAGUACUGAGCCAGCUCUUUAGGAUAUGUGACACUUCAGGAAAUAUUAACAUCCAUGCUGCUGUCAGUGAUGUCCAUGAUGAGCUGCUGUCCUCCGUGCUCCCUCCGCCUAUCUGCUUGAGGAUGACUCCAACGGUCUCAAGAUGGGGGAUGUAGAACAAUCUGAUGAACCAGACGCUGAAGAUUUAUCACUUCGUCUUCUCUCCAUUAGUGACAAUUCAACAGUUGCCAUGUUCUUCUGCUCAGAGAAGACUGAAGUUGCACUUUGGGUAACAUAGUUAACGAUUUCCCCAUAUUGGCUCAUGUAUUUGUCAUGCUUUUUGGACUAACUUGCGCAUUGGAUCUAAGUUCCCGAAAAGAGUUGGACAAUACAUUUGACUUUACCCGGAAAGUCUUGAUGGGUCUGGAGGAUGGGAAGCUGAGACACAGAGCGUUGAGUCUUAAAAAUGGACUUUUGUCAGUAGAGUUUCCUCAUUUUCAGCUGCCAAGGCAGAGUGUUCAGUGUUCUCCUUUAUUUGACAUUUCAUUUAAACUUUCACUUCUGUCACUUUUAGUGAACUGUGUAUUUUUUUUUUUUUUUUUUUUCUUUCAAUAUUUGUCUAGUAUUUAAUUUGCAGAACAUUUUCUCAGCUGAUUUUCUGGAAUGGUAUACAUUCCAUACAGUACCAUGUUCAUCCACUCAUAGAAAUGACAGUUUAAAAAAAAAAAAAUACAUUGCUCUAUUUUGAAGUCUUUCUCGUAUAUUCUAUUCUUGUGUAACUUUUAUAUUUCUAAAGUUACUGUUAGAUGUGAAUUUUGGAAGUGUUCCUAUUUUAGGGAAGUGUUCACAGCUGGUGAGAACCAGAUAUCCUUAUUGUCCACUUCUAAAAGUGACAGUUACUAUCUCAGCUCAUUUUUCAAGGACCUUGCACUGUUUUGGAGAAUGUAUUUCCAUUUGAUGUUGAACAAUUUAAUGUUGAUGUUUUGUUAAUGAUUUGUGGUUGCUUAAUAAAAGAGUAACUUGCAUUUAAAUUGUCUGUCAACCUGUUUUUGUUUCUUAUUUUAUUUCAGAAUGAGUAUAGUUGGUGUAUAGUUAUUUAUUAAAACUAUAAUGUUUUUACGAAGGUAAACUUAAUUGUAAUGUAACAAAAAAAAUGAAGUCAUCUUUAAUUAAUUUCAAUUGGUUCUGUGAACCCAAAAACUCCUUGUAAAAUUAACUUGAUCAAUACUGUUAUAGUAACUUGUAAGAUUUAAGUUAGUAUCAGUUAAAAUGACUUAUAUUAACAUCA